GAUGAACGCUGGCGGCGUGCCUAAUACAUGCCAGUCGAGCGAACGGACGAGAAGCUUGCUUCUCUGAUGUUAGCGGCGGACGGGUGAGUAACACGUAGAUAACCUACCUAUUAGACUGGGAUAACUUCGGGAAACCGUAGCUAAUACCGCAUAACAUUUUGAACCGCAUGAUUCCAAAGUAAAAGACGCUCUUGCUGUCCCUUAUAGAUGGAUCCGCGUUGCUUUAGUGAGUUGGUAAGGUAACGCCUUACCAAGCCAACGAAGCAUAGCCGACCUGAGAGGGUGAUCGGCCAAACUGGAACUGAAACCCGGUCCAGACUCCUACGGGGGCCGGAAGAGGGGAAUCUUGCGAAUUGAGCGAAGGCCUGACGGGGAAACGCCGCGUGAGUGAGGAGGGUCUUCGAAUGUUAAACCUUGUUUAUUAGGGAAGACGAUAGGGGUAAGUGAAUGUGCACACCGUGACGGUACCUAAUCAGAAAGCCACGGCUAACUACGUG
rnacentral:rRNA from 1 species